rnacentral:misc_RNA from 1 species
AAAAUGCGAUACUUGGUGUGAAUUGCAGAAUCCCGUGAACCAUCAAGUUUUUGAACGCAAGUUGCGCCUGAAGCCAUUCGGCCGAGGGCACGUCUGCCAGGGCGUCAAGCAUCGCGUCGCCUCCGACCACGCCUCUCCCAUGGGGACGCGUUUGGUCGGGGGCGGAGACUAGUCUCCCGUGCCCAUGGUGCGGUUAGCCUAAAAAGGAGUCCUCUCCGACGGACGCACGGCUAGUGGUGGUAGUCAAGGCCUUCGUAUCGAGCCGUGCGUCGUGAGCCGCGAGGGAAGCGCUCUCCAAAGACCCCAACGCGUCGUCUUGCGACGAUGCUUCGACCGCGACCCCAGGUCAGGCGGGACUACCCGCUGAGUUUAA